rnacentral:rRNA from 1 species
AGUGAACGCUGGCGGUAGGCCUAACACAUGCAAGUCGAACGGCAGCACAGGAGAGCUUGCUCUCUGGGUGGCGAGUGGCGGACGGGUGAGGAAUACAUCGGAAUCUACUCUGUCGUGGGGGAUAACGUAGGGAAACUUACGCUAAUACCGCAUACGACCUACGGGUGAAAGCAGGGGAUCUUCGGACCUUGAGCGAUUGAAUGAGCCUGUGUCGGAUUAGCUAGUUGGCGGGGUAAAGGCCCACCAAGGCGACGAUCCGUAGCUGGUCUGAGAGGAUGAUCAGCCACACUGGAACUGAGACACGGUCCAGACUCCUACGGGAGGCAGCAGUGGGGAAUAUUGGACAAUGGGCGCAAGCCUGAUCCAGCCAUACCGCGUGGGUGAAGAAGGCCUUCGGGUUGUAAAGCCCUUUUGUUGGGAAAGAAAUCCAGCUGGCUAAUACCCGGUUGGGAUGACGGUACCCAAAGAAUAAGCACCGGCUAACUUCGUGCCAGCCGCCGCCGUAA